GCCUUGGUGGCUUAGUGGUCAAAGCACUCGCGAGGUCGUGGGUUCAAUCCCAGCCGAGGCA
rnacentral:tRNA from 1 species